ensembl:lncRNA
ACGUUUGACUGCAGUAUUUCAUGCGUUUUAUAAUCCGGUGUGCCCGGAUUACACUGCUUUAUACUUUUAUACAUUAUACUGCUGCUUUUCAUCGCGGACACAUUUGUCCCGUAUUUUCCUCCACAACUUUGUUCACCUCGACCGGCAAACCAACGUUUGUGGAGAUCUCCCUCCAUGAAUCGGAGGCCGUCCGCGCGUCCUUAUGGUCCGCCAAUGACGGCUUGUAUAAGCGGUCAUAUUUACGCAUUUCUUCCGACAAAAGUUCUUCAAUCUGAUCCGUUCUCUCAUAAACAUUCUUCUUUUUAAUAAUGGCGAUAUUGUGCUAUGAAAACGUAAAUGCGAGACUCCGUAAAGAAUGUAGUUAGCAGACCAAUCACAGCCUUGUGCGCUGCGGGAGGCUGGCGUCGCUUGCGUUGCUUUCGACGCCAGCCUAGGAAAACGGGUUGAUGCACGCAAGCAGGCAAGGAGGUGUGAAAAGGCACGCAAGGGACACGCAAGGGGGUCUUGCGUCUGCGUCGCUCUGAAAACGCACAACGAUAAACUAGGCUUUAGCCUAGCUUAGGACGUCUGCUUUGUCUUGUGUUGCACUUGCUUGGUGUUUGACUGUGUUUGGAAAAUUGUUGACUUGCUAGUUUGUCAUAAAGUUUAGUGAAAACAUGCAACCGUGUGUGUCACACAGGGACACCGUGAGAGUUGGCAGCCCUGUAGCUUUGUUGGCUAGCUUGACAACAACUUUCCUAACAGUCAAACAUCAAGCAAGUGCAACACAAGACAAAGACAAGACAGCAAAUAAGUUCCUGAAUAGUCCAGCAGAAAUAUAUACACGCAAAAUAACCUACAAUUUCACUCAUGUGGGCCUUUUUGAUCAUGAAGUCAGAAUGCACACAAAAGUCAUUAUACACAAAGUCAAAUAAUACACACUUGAUGCAAUAGGCUACAUGCUGGUGGAGCCUGAGGGUGGAUCUUCACCUAAUUCUUUUUAUUUUUAGUUAAGGAAAUAUGAAUGUGAGAAUAUCAAACUCGCUAUAUGAAGUAAAUUAAGCAUUGUUUAUCCCACAGACAGUCAAUCAGAUGCCAGGUAAAAAAGGGAACCUUACAGAUUUUUUAUUGAUUACUAUCAUAGAUAAAUAUUCCAGUAGCCUAUCCUAUUUGUGGUAUCGUAUCAUAAGUAUCGGGUACUGUAAUAUUUUGGCAGGUAUAGUAUCGAAGUCAUAAUUUUGGUAUCAUGACAACCGUAGUUGAAAAGCAGACAUUUUGUUUUGUUCGAUGCUUAAGAUACACCGAUGGUAUUGGUAAUUUUACCUUAAUUAGAUACUCAGGAGUCAAACUGAUUUUAAGCUUUUAUAGAAAUUAACCGGGCCUCUAACGCAAAGUGAAAUGUUAUUAGGCAUCUGAAUAAGAGAGUGCAGCAGGCAGAGAAGGAGGAAGUUGUUUUUUCAAGAAUUACUGGUGUUGCGGGAAGUGGGAGGAGACACGUCAGCGAGCAGUAAAGGCCUGACUGCAAGUAGAACAAGGAAAUGUGGUCUGAGAAGUAACAAGGAGACAUGAGACCAUGUAACAAUGUCAUUGUUUCCACUAUCAUCACUGUAGCAUCCCUUCAACUUGGAAUAAACAGGCUUGGGAGUGUUUCCAGACGGGUGUACUUUAAUUCAGUUGAGUGUGCAUAGCACCAACACCAACACCGUCACCGUGAAAACUAAAAAGGGAAAUAACAAUUUAGCCAGAUACAAAAUAAUCCCUUGACAAAUGCACUUUACCAUACAUGGAUAACGGCAUAGCAGGCAAGAGUCAUUAUAUGAAAUGAAUUUACAUGAAUUACAAUUACAAUGAACCACAUACCUCGCUCCGAAUAUCAAAGGGUGCUAUAAAGUAGUAAUUCAGGGAAGUCCGCCGCCAUUAGCUUAAUUUAUUAAGUUGCUAGCUAGCUUCUUGUGUCUUCUAUUAAACAAAUGUGAGCGUGAGCAUGAGCGCGAGCGAUUAAUCACGUGAGCAGAUAGCAUGAUGUCAAAAUAAAAGUCACAUAAAAUCUAAGUAGGAAACAGGAUCAUCAAAAUAAAAGAACACUGCUAGUGGUCAUUUACACUCCCACCACUCAUGUUAUGAAGAGUGAAGACAAGGGUCAACCUGGCUGAACGGAUCAUACUUGAGUCCUGUCUGUAUCAGUGUUUCUAGAUGUGUGUAGGUGAGUAUUACUUAAUAUCUAGGAGAGAAUAGACUGUCAUGAGGAAAUAAAAGGUGCAGACAACUAGACUGAUUACUCACUCUCGAGGAGGAGAACUAGUUUCUGAAUGGGUCUUUCUAUGAUCAAAGGUUUGGUAGGGCGAUCUUGUUUUGCUGAUGUUCUUUCCCCUACUAACACCUUGACGCGACGCACUAGACCAUCGCUCCCCUUUUGUGGUUUCAACCACUCGUCCCAGGUGCCACUGAUUUCUAGGGGUGUCUUCCCUUAUAAUGACUAAGUCGUCUACCUUAAGGCUGCGUCGAGUUGUAUGCCACUUUUGGCGUGUGGAGAUGUUCAUGAGAUAUUCUCUCCUCCACCGGCUCCAGAACUGUUCAACAAGGUACUGGACUCUUCGCCACCUUUUAGUUGCAUACACAUCCUCCUUCUCAAAUUUGCCAGGCGGUGGAAGUGCAAUCUUGGAC